rnacentral:rRNA from 1 species
GAUGAACGCUGGCGGCGUGCCUAAUACAUGCAAGUCGAGCGAACGGACGAGAAGCUUGCUUUUCUGAUGUUAGCGGCGGACGGGUGAGUAACACGUGGAUAACCUACCUAUAAGACUGGGAUAACUUCGGGAAACCGGAGCUAAUACCGGAUAAUAUUUUGAACCGCAUGGUUCAAAAGUGAAAGACGGUCUUGCUGUCACUUAUAGAUGGAUCCGCGCUGCAUUAGCUAGUUGGUAAGGUAACGGCUUACCAAGGCAACGAUGCAUAGCCGACCUGAGAGGGUGAUAGGCCACACUGGAGCUGAGACACGGUCCAGACUCCUACGGGAGGCAGCAGUAGGGAAUCGUCCGCAAUGGGCGAAAGCCUGACGGAGCAACGCCGCGUGAGUGAUGAAGGUCUUCGGAUCGUAAAACUCUGUUAUUAGGGAAGAACAUAUGUGUAAGUAACUGUGCACAUCUUGACGGUACCUAAUCAGAAAGCCACGGCUAACUACGUG